rnacentral:rRNA from 1 species
UUAAGCGACUAAGCGUACACGGUGGAUGCCCUGGCAGUCAGAGGCGAUGAAGGACGUGCUAAUCUGCGAAAAGCGUCGGUAAGGUGAUAUGAACCGUUAUAACCGGCGAUGUCCGAAUGGGGAAACCCAGUGCAAUUCGUUGCACUAUCGUUAACUGAAUACAUAGGUUAACGAGGCGAACCGGGGGAACUGAAACAUCUAAGUACCCCGAGGAAAAGAAAUCAACCGAGAUUCCCCCAGUAGCGGCGAGCGAACGGGGAGCAGCCCAGAGUCUGAAUCAGCUUGUGUGUUAGUGGAACGGUCUGGAAAGUCCGACGGUACAGGGUGAUAGUCCCGUACACCAAAAUGCACAGGCUGUGAACUCGAAGAGUAGGGCGGGACACGUGGUAUCCUGUCUGAAUAUGGGGGGACCAUCCUCCAAGGCUAAAUACUCCUGACUGACCGAUAGUGAACCAGUACCGUGAGGGAAAGGCGAAAAGAACCCCGGCGAGGGGAGUGAAAAAGAACCUGAAACCGUGUACGUACAAGCAGUGGGAGCACCUUCGGGUGUGACUGCGUACCUUUUGUAUAAUGGGUCAGCGACUUAUAUUCUGUAGCAAGGUUAACCGUAUAGGGGAGCCGCAGGGAAACCGAGUCUUAACUGGGCGUUAAGUUGCAGGGUAUAGACCCGAAACCCGGUGAUCUAGCCAUGGGCAGGUUGAAGGUUGGGUAACACUAACUGGAGGACCGAACCGACUAAUGUUGAAAAAUUAGCGGAUGACUUGUGGCUGGGGUGAAAGGCCAAUCAAACCGGGAGAUAGCUGGUUCUCCCCGAAAGCUAUUUAGGUAGCGCCUCGUGAAUUCAUCUUCGGGGGUAGAGCACUGUUUCGGCUAGGGGGUCAUCCCGACUUACCAACCCGAUGCAAACUACGAAUACCGAAGAAUGUUAUCACGGGAGACACACGGCGGGUGCUAACGUCCGUCGUGAAGAGGGAAACAACCCAGACCGCCAGCUAAGGUCCCAAAGUCAUGGUUAAGUGGGAAACGAUGUGGGAAGGCACAGACAGCCAGGAUGUUGGCUUAGAAGCAGCCAUCAUUUAAAGAAAGCGUAAUAGCUCACUGGUCGAGUCGGCCUGCGCGGAAGAUGUAACGGGGCUAAACCAUGCACCGAAGCUGCGGCAGCGACACUAUGUGUUGUUGGGUAGGGGAGCGUUCUGUAAGCCUGCGAAGGUGACCUGUGAGGGUUGCUGGAGGUAUCAGAAGUGCGAAUGCUGACAUAAGUAACGAUAAAGCGGGUGAAAAGCCCGCUCGCCGGAAGACCAAGGGUUCCUGUCCAACGUUAAUCGGGGCAGGGUGAGUCGACCCCUAAGGCGAGGCCGAAAGGCGUAGUCGAUGGGAAACAGGUUAAUAUUCCUGUACUUGGUGUUACUGCGAAGGGGGGACGGAGAAGGCUAUGUUAGCCGGGCGACGGUUGUCCCGGUUUAAGCAUGUAGGCUGGUUAUCCAGGCAAAUCCGGAUAAUCAAGGCUGAGGUGUGAUGACGAGGCACUACGGUGCUGAAGUAACAAAUGCCCUGCUUCCAGGAAAAGCCUCUAAGCAUCAGGUAACAUCAAAUCGUACCCCAAACCGACACAGGUGGUCAGGUAGAGAAUACCAAGGCGCUUGAGAGAACUCGGGUGAAGGAACUAGGCAAAAUGGUGCCGUAACUUCGGGAGAAGGCACGCUGGUGUGUAGGUGAAGCCCCUGCGGGUGGAGCUGAGACCAGUCGAAGAUACCAGCUGGCUGCAACUGUUUAUUAAAAACACAGCACUGUGCAAACACGAAAGUGGACGUAUACGGUGUGACGCCUGCCCGGUGCCGGAAGGUUAAUUGAUGGGGUUAUCCGUAAGGAGAAGCUCUUGAUCGAAGCCCCGGUAAACGGCGGCCGUAACUAUAACGGUCCUAAGGUAGCGAAAUUCCUUGUCGGGUAAGUUCCGACCUGCACGAAUGGCGUAAUGAUGGCCAGGCUGUCUCCACCCGAGACUCAGUGAAAUUGAACUCGCUGUGAAGAUGCAGUGUACCCGCGGCAAGACGGAAAGACCCCGUGAACCUUUACUAUAGCUUGACACUGAACAUUGAGCCUUGAUGUGUAGGAUAGGUGGGAGGCUUUGAAGCGUGGACGCCAGUCUGCGUGGAGCCAACCUUGAAAUACCACCCUUUAAUGUUUGAUGUUCUAACGUUGGCCCCUUAUCGGGGUUGCGGACAGUGUCUGGUGGGUAGUUUGACUGGGGCGGUCUCCUCCCAAAGCGUAACGGAGGAGCACGAAGGUUAGCUAAUCCUGGUCGGACAUCAGGAGGUUAGUGCAAUGGCAUAAGCUAGCUUGACUGCGAGCGUGACGGCGCGAGCAGGUGCGAAAGCAGGUCAUAGUGAUCCGGUGGUUCUGAAUGGAAGGGCCAUCGCUCAACGGAUAAAAGGUACUCCGGGGAUAACAGGCUGAUACCGCCCAAGAGUUCAUAUCGACGGCGGUGUUUGGCACCUCGAUGUCGGCUCAUCACAUCCUGGGGCUGAAGUAGGUCCCAAGGGUAUGGCUGUUCGCCAUUUAAAGUGGUACGCGAGCUGGGUUUAGAACGUCGUGAGACAGUUCGGUCCCUAUCUGCCGUGGGCGCUGGAGAAUUGAGGGGGGCUGCUCCUAGUACGAGAGGACCGGAGUGGACGCAUCACUGGUGUUCGGGUUGUCAUGCCAAUGGCACUGCCCGGUAGCUAAAUGCGGAAGAGAUAAGUGCUGAAAGCAUCUAAGCACGAAACUUGCCCCGAGAUGAGUUCUCCCUGAGACUAUAAGUCUCCUGAAGGAACGUUAAAGACGAUGACGUUGAUAGGCCGGGUGUGUAAGCGCAGCGAUGCGUUGAGCUAACCGGUACUAAUGAACCGUGAGGCUUAACCUU